UGGGGAAUAUUGGACAAUGGGGGCAACCCUGAUCCAGCAAUGCCGCGUGUGUGAAGAAGGUCUUCGGAUCGUAAAGCACUUUCGACGGGGACGAUGAUGACGGUACCCGUAGAAGAAGCCCCGGCUAACUUCGUGCCAGCAGCCGCGGUAAUACGAAGGGGGCUAGCGUUGCUCGGAAUUACUGGGCGUAAAGGGCGCGUAGGCGGCUCUGUUAGUCAGGCGUGAAAUUCCUGGGCUUAACCUGGGGACUGCGCUUGAUACUGCAGGGCUUGAGGCCGAGAGAGGGUGGUGGAAUUCCCAGUGUAGAGGUGAAAUUCGUAGAUAUUGGGAAGAACACCGGUGGCGAAGGCGACCACCUGGCUCGGUACUGACGCUGAGGCGCGACAGCGUGGGGAGCAAAC
rnacentral:rRNA from 1 species